GACGAACGCUGGCGGCGUGCUUAACACAUGCAAGUCGAACGGAAAGGCCCUGCUUUUGUGGGGUGCUCGAGUGGCGAACGGGUGAGUAACACGUGAGUAACCUGCCCUUGACUUUGGGAUAACUUCAGGAAACUGGGGCUAAUACCGGAUAGGAUCUCCUGCUGCAUGGUGGGGGUUGGAAAGUUUCGGCGGUUGGGGAUGGACUCGCGGCUUAUCAGCUUGUUGGUGGGGUAGUGGCUGACCAAGUCUUUGACGGGUAGCCCGCCUGAGAGGGUGAACGGCGACAUGGGGACUAAGGGACGGCGCAGACGGCAACGGGACGCAGCAGGCGGGAAUAUGGCGCAAUGAGCGGGAGCGUGAGGCAGCGACCCCCCGUGCGGGAUGACCGCCUUUGGGGUGUAAACAGCUGUCGACGGAGACGAAGAGUGAGUGACGGUAAUGGGUAAAGAAGCAACGGCUAACUACGUG
rnacentral:rRNA from 1 species